UACAGAGGGGGCAAGCGUUAUUCGGAAUUAUUGGGCGUAAAGGGCGCGUAGGCGGCUUGGCAAGUGGAUGGUGAAAUCCCUCGGCUUAACCGAGGAACUGCCGUCCAAACUGCUUAGCUUGAGACCGGGAGAGGUGAGUGGAAUUCCCAGUGUAGCGGUGAAAUGCGUAGAUAUUGGGAGGAACACCAGUGGCGAAGGCGGCGCUCUGGACCGAGACUGACGCUGAGGCGCGAAAGCGUGGGGAGCAAACAGG
rnacentral:rRNA from 1 species